rnacentral:lncRNA from 1 species
GUUUCACCGUGUUGGCCUGGAUGGUCUCGAGCUCCUGACCUAGCUACCUGCCUGCCUCAGCCUCCCAAAGUGCUGGGAUUACAGGGGUGAGCCACCACGCCCGGCCCAAGUCUGCUAUCUCUAUUCCAACAAGUUCAUCUGCAUCUUGUUAUUGUGCCGCGAGAAAUAGCAGCCUGACCCUCAGUUUGAUCCGGGAUAAAAAUUUGGCACACAAGCCAGGAAUUAAGGACAGUGCUGCAUUCAGCGGCUGGCAACUUGCUAUGAGACAGUCUUCAGGAGGAUCCCAGAAGCUGCUGGGUGAGGUUUCCCCCGGGACCCUCCAGAGGGCUGUUGUGCGCAAAUCUGCAUGUCCUUUUCACUACUGAGGAGAAACAGAGAUCAGGAGCAGAUGCGCUCAAAGGAGUCAAGGAAGCUUUUCUUUUGUGCUAUUAACAGAUUUUAACAAUUAAGUAAAGUAUACUCCUAUGAACAAAAUUUGGAGCAUAUUUGUUUCUCUCUGCCUUGUCCCUCUAGAAUUUGGAAACUAUCUGUGAGUAUUCUUAAUUUAUGGCAAUAUAGUUAUUUGCAU